rnacentral:rRNA from 1 species
AUUGAACGCUGGCGGCAUGCUUUACACAUGCAAGUCGAACGGCAGCGCGGGCUUCGGCCUGGCGGCGAGUGGCGAACGGGUGAGUAAUGCAUCGGAACGUGCCCAGUAGUGGGGGAUAGCCCGGCGAAAGCCGGAUUAAUACCGCAUACGACCUGAGGGUGAAAGCGGGGGACCGAAAGGCCUCGCGCUAUUGGAGCGCCCGAUGUCGGAUUAGCUAGUUGGUGGGGUAAAGGCUUACCAAGGCGACGAUCCGUAGCUGGUCUGAGAGGACGACCAGCCACACUGGGACUGAGACACGGCCCAGACUCCUACGGGAGGCAGCAGUGGGGAAUUUUGGACAAUGGGGGCAACCCUGAUCCAGCCAUGCCGCGUGCGGGAAGAAGGCCUUCGGGUUGUAAACCGCUUUUGUUCGGGAAGAAAUCCUCUGGGCUAAUACCCCGGGGGGAUGACGGUACCGGAAGAAUAAGCACCGGCUAACUACGUG